GAUGAACGCUGGCGGCGUGCCUAAUACAUGCAAGUCGAGCGAACAGACGAGGAGCUUGCUCCUCUGACGUUAGCGGCGGAAGGGUGAGUAACACGUGGAUAACCUACCUAUAAAACUGGGAUAACUUCGGGAAACCGGAGCUAAUACCGGAUAAUAUAUUGAACCGCAUGGUUCAAUAGUGAAAGACGGUUUUGCUGUCACUUAUAGAUGGAUCCGCGCCGCAUUAGCUAGUUGGUAAGGUAACGGCUUACCAAGGCAACGAUGCGUAGCCGACCUGAGAGGAUGAUCGGCCACACUGGAACUGAGACACGGUCCAGACUCCUACGGGAGGCAGCAGUAGGGAAUCUUCCGCAAUGGGCGAAAGCCUGACGGAGCAACGCCGCGUGAGUGAUGAAGGUCUUCGGAUCGUAAAACUCUGUUAUUAGGGAAGAACAAAUGUGUAAGUAACUAUGCACGUCUCGACGGUACCUAAUCAGAAAGCAACGGCUAACUACGUG
rnacentral:rRNA from 1 species